CGCGAGAUACCCAAGCGGCAACGGGAUCUGACUGUAAAUCAGACGCUUCGGCUUCGCAGGUUCGAGUCCUGCUCUCGCGAC
rnacentral:tRNA from 9 species